CCAACUGUGACAAUCACAAAAGCCAGUAGGAAUAACCCAUUAAGUUCCUUCUACAGUUAAGUUUUUGGGAAAUAAAUAGAAUGGCCCACAGAAAGUAAGAUAUUCCUUAAGCUCUGUUUUUAGACUACUGUUAGAUGUCUUACGUUUGAUUUCAUGACUCUUUUUUAACCAUACAGCCAAUUUAGAAGACUGAGAAGAGUUUGGCUACAGCACAUCUCAUAAAUGAUGCUCCAGAUAACACGUGAUUCUGAAAGAUACCAUAUGAAGCAUAUCACACAAUUAUUGCACUCCAUUCAUCACGGCUGACUUCAACUGCUGGGUUUGGAAACCAAGCAAGGAUCAGAUUUUAAAUGGAUGCCUCUUUCACCUAAACUCUGGAGGAAGCCCCUCAAAAUACUUUUAUGGAAAAAACUUGAAUCUUCAAGAUCCUACUCCACAUAACAGACCCUUGUUCUUGGAUGCUUUGGCCUGAGAUCAUGAGGUUGCUCCUGAACUCAGUCCACUUCCACGGUCAGCACACCAAAGUAUAUUUUCUAUUUACUUUCCCAGCCAUCAUAGAAUGCUGG
rnacentral:lncRNA from 1 species